AUUGAACGCUGGCGGCGUGCCUAAUACAUGCAAGUAGGACGCAGUUGCGACCGGGUGAGUAACGCGUAGGUAACUGCCUCUUAGAGGGGGAUAACUAAUGGAAACGAUAGCUAAUACCGCAUACUAGUUGAUGGACCUGCGUUGUAUUAGCUAGUUGGUAGGGUAAUGGCCUAACGAGGCAACGAUACAUAGCCGACCUGAGGGGGUGAGCGGCCACACUGGGACUGAGAAAAGGCCCAGACUCCUACGGGAGGCAGCAGUAGGGAAUCGUCGGGAAUGGGGGGAACCCUGACCGGGCAAAGCCGCGUGAGUGAAGAAGGUUUUCGGAUCGUAAAGCUCUGUUGUUAAGGAAGCGGUACUUAACCAGAAAGGGACGGCUAACUACGUGCCAGCAGCCGCGGUAAUAC
rnacentral:rRNA from 1 species